GCGAGCGUGGCGGAAUUGGCAGACGCGCAGGCUUGAGGGGUCUGUUUUCGUAGGGAAGUAAGGGUUCGACCCCCUUCGCUCGCACCA
rnacentral:tRNA from 1 species